CGAGUGGAACAUACGGCAGCGGGACGGCAUUGCGUUCGUUCUGAGGAAAGUCCGGGCUUCACAGGGGAAUGGUAACUGCUAACGGCAGCCGGGGGCAACCCUAGGGAUAGUGCAACAGAAAGAAACCGCCACAGUUUUGUGGUAAGGAUGGAAAGGCGAGGUAAGAGCUCACCAGCGCACUGGCGACUUUGCGGCUAUGUAAACCCUACCAGAAGCAACACCCGUAUGGGGCAUACAGCGCUCCCCGCGCGCCCCGGAGGUGGCUUGAACCCUGCGGCGACGCAGGGUCUAUACAGAUUGUCGUUUAAUACAGAACCCGGCUUACGGUCCGGUCGUUUU
rnacentral:RNase_P_RNA from 1 species